CCCUUAGAUGUUCUGGGCCGCACGCGUGCUACACUGAGUGGAUCAGCGGGUCAGGUUGCGCGAAAGCGUUUCCUAAUCUUUAAAUCCGCUCGUGAUGGGGAUUGACGGUUGCAAUUUUCUGUCAUGAACGAGGAAUACCUUGUAAGCGCGGGUCAUCAUCCCGCGUUGAAUACGUCCCUGCCCUUUGUACACACCGCCCGUCGCUCCUACCGAUUGAGUGGUCCGGUGAGGCUUGGGAUCUGAGCGGAAAGAGAGUUUCGCUGUUUCUGCUCGGAAAACUCAGUCGAACCUUAUCAUUUAGAGGAAGGAGAAGUCGUAACA
rnacentral:rRNA from 1 species